AAAACCCUAAGGAUCCCCUUAACAAAAAUACACAACCCUGCCGGAACAAGCCAUCCUCUCCAGCUAACACACACGACCAAGACCCUUCUUCAACAGAACAACAGCCGCUGCCCAAAUGCCGGAACCAGUUCCCCUCUUCUUCAAACUUGAGCGCCCAUCUAAUACCUCCAGCCGUUGCUUGUCUUCCUCACACUAGCCGGAGCGUCGUUGCCCUCCUCCAAACGACCGAUCACUCCAUCCUCGAACGAGCACAGCCGCCGGCGACGUUGCUCUAACACUCAGCGUCCGACCUCCUCUUCAAGUCACCUCUACCAUGGCUUUUGAUUCGCAUUUUUCCUUUUAUGAUUUUGUUAUAGUUCACUGGUAUAAUCAAAAAACAACAAAGGGAUUUCAGUUGGCUUAGUUUCAUUUGUGAUUUCAAACUCAAAAUAUAUAAUGAGAAUUUAGUUUACUCUUUUAGUUUUGGUUUCCGAACUAGAGUGGAUAUGAAACGGGUUUUCGAUCGUUGGAGUUACUGUUUGAUGUUUG
rnacentral:lncRNA from 1 species